GCGAUGGUGAUUACAUCUGUGGCUGGAGGAUUUUGCUGCAUUCGUUCUUGGUGCAAAAUCCCUUGGACUUUGCCUGUCGAAGCCCUAGCAGGUAUAGCCAUUCGGAUUGGUAGGGUCCUUGAUGUGGUGAAGCGGUUGGAAAAACACCUAAGCUUGUAUGGACAAAAGGUAGGUCUAGAUGCACGAGGAACUAAAAUCUAUGUAAGUGACAUUGAAUGAAUUGACAAAAAAAAAUGUAGAUACUCCUCAUGAGGAUGGAGGACAAGGUAAGGAUGAGGAA